AGGAUUAUAUUUAAUUAUAAUAUUUGAUUUGCAAUCAAAAGGUGUUGACAAAACUAAUCUUA
rnacentral:tRNA from 1 species